UUAUAUUUUUGUGUUUGACAAGACCUUCAGACUUGUGCCUACGUACCAACAUAAAAAUGAGGGAUCAAAACCUCGUAGUUCGUGGUAUCAAUUUCAAAGUGAGUGAAUUGCUUUUAACCAAAAUUUCAGUUUAAAAGAGGCACAAAAGGCCUAAAAGAGUUUGAAUGAGUGUUAUUUAUUUUUUUCUUUUGAAAUUUUUA
rnacentral:lncRNA from 1 species